UACGAAGGGGGCUAGCGUUGCUCGGAAUUACUGGGCGUAAAGGGCGCGUAGGCGGACAGUUUAGUCAAAGGUGAAAGCCCAGGGCUCAACCUUGGAAUUGCCUUUGAUACUGGCUGUCUUGAGUUCGGGAGAGGUGAGUGGAAUGCCGAGUGUAGAGGUGAAAUUCGUAGAUAUUCGGCGGAACACCAGUGGCGAAGGCGACUCACUGGCCCGAUACUGACGCUGAGGCACGAAAGCGUGGGGAGCGAACGGG
rnacentral:rRNA from 1 species